rnacentral:lncRNA from 1 species
AACCGUUUGAUUGAUGACUUAUUUUUGUGUGUUAAUUAAGGUGGCCAACUUAGUUUUCAUGCAGGAAUUUGAGCUAAAACAUAAGGAAGUUUCACCUAAUAGUUACAACCUUAUGUUUGCAAGUAGUGGAGGUCGCUUAUAAAUGAUCGUGUUAAGUGAAUUUUUGGCAAACGUUUCAUGCUUUUCAUAGUAACAAUUGCCUCGUCAAUGCUUAUAGUUUUCAUGAAGCUUAAUGAUCUUUGAUUGUACCUUUAUUGUGCUUUUCAUGUAAGGGACUUUUAGAGAAUGUUUUGAGUUGUUGCAGUGCAUUCCCAUCCAAUUCACUAACUUUAGGAAAACUUGAAGGUUAAAAAAGUGCUAUCACAGUUAACCUAGGGCGUUGAGAUUCAUAGUUUAUUGAAAGAAGCAAUUGGAAAUCAAAGUUGAAUGCAAGUGUAUCAUGUGUGGAGAAGAACCCUCUAGUUAGUCUAUCACCCAUCAAUUUACUUAAUUUUGUCUAAGAAUCUGUUUACAUUGUUCUUGCUUUGUUUUAUUUAUUUUCGUCCAAAAUCACCCCAUCUUAUUUCUUUGAGUCAUAUUAACUAGAACUUGUCUUAGAAUAUGUUUUUAGGUGUUUUAGGUCAUUAGAAAAUCAAAAUUCGUCCAAGUUGUGUUAGAGUCCCAAAACUGCCCAGAAAGUGGUUUUUAGGCAGUUUUGAGUGUUUGUUUGCUGUUUUGAGUCUUUUGGUUUGGUUUAGUGUUUUAGAGUUUAGUUUUGCAUUCUUUGAGUCUAGUUUAGUAUUUUAAACUUUGUUUUAC